rnacentral:rRNA from 1 species
AUGGCGGACAACAGGUCGGCGGCGGCGGCGGCGGUGGGGCCGCUGCUGCUGCCGCGGAAGAAGUCGUCGUCGGCGGCGCAGUACACCCGCAGCGCGUCGCACGCGGGGGACGAGCUGCGCAGCUUCCGGGCCUGCCUCCGCUGGAUGUGCAUCGACCACACCGACGGGCCGCGCUCCGCGGGCUCCUGGGCGGUCUUCUUCCUGCUCGCCGUCGCCGCGCCCGCGGCGGUCACCCUGGCCCUCCCGGCCUCGGCCCCGCCGCGGCCCCUGGACGGGCAGGUGCAGGUCUCGCUCACCCUGGCCGCCACGCUCGCCUUCCUCUCCCUCUGCUCGCUGCUCCGGGUCGGCCUCCGCCGCCUGCUCUGCAUCGACCGCCUCCGCCACGACUCGGACGAGGUGCGCGCGGGAUACACCGCGCAGCUCAACCGCUCCUUCCGCGUCCUCGCCUGCUUCCUCGCGCCCUGCUCCCUCGCCGACGCCGCCUACAAGGUCUACUGGUACUGGAUCGCCGCGCCCUUCCGCUCGCCCUGGUGGAACGCGGCCGCCUGCGCGCUCGAGACCGCCUCCUGGGUCUACCGCACCGCCGUCUUCUUCAUGAUCUGCGUCCUCUUCCGGGUCAUCUGCUACCUGCAGGUGCUGCGCAUGGUGGGCUUCGCGCGGGAGUUCGGCAGGUUCGCCGACGUCGCCGUCGUGCUGGAGCACCACCGCCGGAUCAGGGACCAGCUCCGCAGGAUCAGCCACAGGUACCGCCGGUUCAUAAUAUUCUGCCUCGUGCUCGUCACCGCCAGCCAGUUCUCCGCCCUGCUCGCCACCACCAGGCCACAUGCGCGGAUCAAUAUCGCCACCGCCGGCGAGCUCGCGCUCUGCUCAGUGAGCCUGGUGGCGGGGCUGCUGGUCUGUCUGCACAGCGCGGCCAAGAUCACGCACAAGACGCAGGCAAUCACGAGCGUCGCGGCGGCGUGGCACGCGGACGCCACCAUCCACGCCUUCGACAAUGACCUGGAGGACCCCGACCCCGCCCUGCCCACCGCCACCGGCUACCUGGCGCCGGCCAACGCCUACCGGGUGGCCCCCGGCGAGGAGUCCGACGGCUACGGGGACGACGACGACGACGACACCAGGAGCGAGGACUCCAUCGACGAAUCCAAGCUUGUGCCCUUCCAGGUCAACAACAUGUGCUUCCAGAAGAGGCAGGCACUGGUGAACUACCUGGAGAACAACCGGGCGGGCAUCACGGUGUACGGCUUCGUGGUCGACCGGACAUGGCUGCACGCGCUCUUCAUGAUCGAGUUCUCUCUCGUCAUGUGGCUGCUGGGGAAGACGGUCGGCAUAUCUUGA